CACAAAGAGACUUACAUGAAUCCUUGAUGAGGACAGCCAGAGUAAAUUUUCUCCAUGCUCACAAUAUUGGCGAUGGGAAUUCUCUCUUUAAAAAAUUUGAAACAGCAUCUUUUGGGGCCGUCGGCUCAGUGUGACUUACGUUGGCCAUCGGCGUGAUGCAGCACGAUGCCAUACAGCAGGAGGGCCAGACAGAUGGAGAUCUUCAGCAUACUGAUGACUCGAUGACUCCCUGAGUGAGCGUAUGUGAGUGGACCAAUAAUGGAGUGCGUCGCGGACAGGGCCCUCCUUAUAUACUGCCAGUGUGAAUUAAUGAUUACGUUUCAGGCGUUCAUUAACGUGUUUGCAGCCCGGGAUGGCUCGACGAGAGGAUAAUAAUUGACCUGGUGUUGUGCAGAGCAGAACGAUAUCGAACAUAGUUAUAAUAGUUAUAAUGGUGAGUAUAACGGUAAUAAACAGAUGUGCAGAUUUUGGACAGUGGGACACAGAGUCAGUGAAUGGGGACAGCUAACCUCUCUGUUUGUGUGUAUAUAUAGGUAUAUGCUCAGCCUGUAUUUGCAUAUUUCAUAUAUAUGCUAAUUAACAAGGUAUUAACAGUAUUAACUAAUGUUUCAUUAACAUUAUCACAAUAAAAGUUUUCAUACAAACAAGAUUUUGUUGUUAGAUAUAAGCACUCCUGCCCAUCGUGCGCACAUAUCUAAUGGACUCUCUCUCUCUCUCUCUUCCUCUCCUGCCAGGACCAUGGAAAAGAACAAGAAGAAAGGGAAAAUCUUUUGAGCCCUUGUGCUGAUCUCCUUGCACUACACACGUGCACACACACAAAUGCACACACACACACACACACACGAACAAACACACACACACACACACACACACACACACAGUGUGUUUGACAAAAAGGGACUGUUUUCUCUUCUGUGUGUGAAGUUAAUGUAAUGAUAUUGAGAUGCUGUAAACAAGGGCGAUAUUGAUAUUGAGAUGCUGCUCUAUCUUUUAGAUACAUACAGAGAGGACUGUUAGAGCACACACACACAUACACACACAAUCUCUCUGUCUUUCUCUGUCUCACUCACAGGCAUACACACACACACACACACACAAUCUUUCUCUUUCUCUCUUACUCACACACAUACGCACACACACACACACACACACACACACACACAAUCUCUCUGUCUUUCUCUUUCUCUGUCUCACUCACACACAUACACACGCACACACACACACACACACAAUCUCUCUGUCUUUCUCUUUCUCUCUCACACACACACACAUACACACGCACACACACACACGCACAAUCUCUCUGUCUUUCUCUUUCUCUCUCACUCACACACACACACACACACACACAAUCUCUCUGUCUUUCUCCUUCUCUCUCACUCACACACAUACACACACACACACACACAAUCUCUCUGUCUUUCUCCUUCUCUCUCACUCACACACAUACACACGCAUGCACACACACACACACACACACACACACACAAUCUCUCUGUCUUUCUCUUACUCUCUCACACACACACAUGUUCACCUGUGUCUCAGGGUGAAGAGCGUGAAGGUGAACAGAAGGUGGGAGUUUGGGCCUAGCGGGCGGAGCAGAGGUGGCGCUGAACGCUUGUUAAAGGGAAACCGGCAGGUGUGGAAAUUUCCGUUCGGUGGCACGGAGGAGUCUUCGUUCCCGCCGUUCUGUCUGAAUUUCUCAAGUUUGUCUCGCAAGAUUGCGUUUUCAAGAAGUCAGUUUAUUUAUAUUUGUUUUUUUUAAAAUUUUAUUUUAUUUUAUUUUUUACAAAUUUGCCGUGCGUGAAAGCGAGCGUCGCAGGGGAACGCCGUGCGCCCGCGCGUGUAUGUCUAUGCAAACCGAGAUCACGCUAACUGCCUGGUCUGUCUUUCAGAGCGGCUACAAAGGUUAGUUCAGCAUUAGUGAAUUAAUGAUUACGUUUCAGUCGUUCGUUAACGUGUUUGCAGCCCGGGAUGUCUCGACGAUAGAAUAAUAAUUGACCUGGUGUUGUGCAGAGCAGAACGAUAUCGAACAUAGUUAUAAUAGUUAUAAUGUUGAGUAUAACGGUAAUAAACAGAUGUGCAGAUUUUGGACAGUGGGACACAGAGUCAGUGAAUGGGGACAGCUAACCUCUCUGUUUGUGUGUAUAUAUAUAUAUAUAUAUAAAUAUAUAUAUAUAUAUAUAUAUAUAUAUAUAUGUGUAUGUUUUAGUUUUCUUUUUUUAAAUGUAAUGGAACUUAAGAUCCCUGUGAGACAGUAGACUCCCGGUAUACGCUUACCCAUAACUUAUAACACACACACACACACAGAUACACACGCACUCUCGCACUCACACAUGCACAUAGACACACACACAUGCAGACACACAUUAAAACGUAUGCACACUCAAAUGCAGACAUGCUCACAAAUAUGCACAGACAUAUACAGACACGUGCACACAUACACACAUAUACAGGCACACACACAUGCCUGUAACACGACUUCCUGGCAGUGCAGGUGGUGUUUCCCGGGCCCCUGCUGUACUGCACUGUACUGUAGACUCGUGAAGCACAGAGGGGAACCAUGGCAACACACUAAGCAGACAUCGUCUCAGCUCAGCACGUCUCCCUGAACCUGGCCACCUGGUUGCCAUAGUAACAGGUGUCCCAGGUCCAGAGUGUGAGGGAUCCGUGAGCCACUGACAUCCUCGUGUGGAUUCCUUCUUCCUCAGAACCUUUCCAGACAAAACCAUCCUUUUUAAUGGUGGAUAUGACUAUAAUUUACUCUCUAUUUUUGUCUUUUUUUAAUAUGUAUGCGCUUUUCAACUCAUAUUCUAUUUUGCUGUAUUCAUUUAUCACGUUCUCUCUGCUUAACUGUACAUUAUUCAUAUUAAACAUGGAAAGGCUUGGCCAAUGGCACAGCUCCCUUGAUUGGUUAUUUUUAGGGGUGGGGGGAGUGGUAUGGUGGGGUAACAAACAAAGUCUAAGCACAUGGUUCCUGAAUACCUAAGACCAAGAAGGAUGUUUGUGAGAUACAAGACUUACAUUCACGCAUGAACGGACAGUGAAGCACACACUCAGACACAUACAUCUCUAUCGGGUGAGUUCCUGUUGCUCAGAAUGGAUUUCAACUUUUGUACUUUACCUUUAUUAACUUCAUGCUUGAGUCUGUUUAUGUAAAUGCAUUUUAUUUCUUAGAUGUACAGCAGUGCAUGUCAUAAUGAAGCAGUUCAGCAGACACUGGAGCCACUGCAUAAGCCUAACACAUAAAGCAGACCCCCCGCCCACCCCCAACAUACACUGACAGAGUGUCAGUUCCCCAUAAUUUGCCGUGCCGUUUGUGCCGUCCUGAGCUGAUAUGAGCAAUGCCAAACAAAUAUGAAAUAUGGAAUUUAUGUCUUAAUAUACCAUCACAGUUUACAUUUCUACAUAAGGCUGACUCUUUCUUUUCUCGUUUCACACCUAUUGUAAUAAAUUGUUACAAAUUCAAUUCACGAAUAAGCAAAGACAGGAUUCGCUAUGCUCUCAAGCGUAUAAAACAAACUUCACUGACGAACAGAUGAGAAGAUUUUUGGCUAUAACCCCGAUGACACUGAGGCGCCCUCUGAUGGAAACUUCAGUUUUGAGCUGUCUUCAAUUGAAAUAUUCUGCAUCCACGCAAAAUGAUUUUCCUUUGACGGUCUGAACACUGGAGGUGGAGAGUUGAGAGGCAGGUAAGGAAUUUCGUAAAUACUACUCAAAUACCUCAGAAAUUACAGACACCGUACUCACAGUUCCACAAAGAGACUUACAUAAAUCCUUGAUGAGGACAGUCAGAGUAAAUUUUCGUGAUGGUCACAAUGUUGGCGCUGGGAAUUUUGCUUUUAAAAAAUUUGAAACAGCAGCUUUCGGGGCCGUCGGCUCAGUGUGACUUACGAUGGCCGUCGGCGUGAUGCGGCAUGAUGCCAUACAGCAGGAGGGCCAGACAGAUGGAGAUCUUCAGCAUACUGAUGACUCGAUGACUCCCUGAGUGAGCGUGUGUGAGUGGUCCAAUAGUGGACUGCGUCGCGGACAGGGGCCUCCUUAAAUACUGCCAGUGUGGGG